UACGGGGGGGGUAAGCGUUGUUCGGAAUUACUGGGCGUAAAGGGCUCGUAGGCGGCCAACUAAGUCGGACGUGAAAUCCCUCGGCUUAACCGGGGAACGGCCUCUGAUACUGGCUGGCUGGAGUUCGGGAGAGGGAUGCGGAAUUCCAGGUGUAGCGGUGAAAUGCGUAGAUAUCUGGAGGAACACCGGUGGCGAAGGCGGCAUCCUGGACCGACACUGACGCUGAGGAGCGAAAGCCAGGGGAGCAAACGGG
rnacentral:rRNA from 1 species